UAUAAUGUAAACGCCUGCAGUUGUCCAUAUCGACAUGUAAAUCAUACAAAUUACGUACAAUGUCGCUGGACCGCAGGUCUAAAAGAACCGACGAUCCGGUUCAAAUAAACCGGUUCAUCAAUUCUCGGACAAAGUGAUUCCCGGAAAAGAAUCGACGUCUCAGGGCCUCGAUACAUUUCAAAGUGCGCGCACGCACAGCGAGUGACGUAGGCCGCGUUAGUGAGAAGAGCACAUGGAUACAUUUGUGAGAGAAAAACUCGUUGAAUGCAGUCUUAUCGAGACGUCUAACGGUUGGAACAAACGUGGAAUUCCUUAACCGAGCAGAGUCCACAAAACCCCAUCCAUUUGUCAUGGCAAUUUGAAAAUGCCAGCAGAUCUAUCAGACAUUGAUCAUAAUCAAUGGACAGGUCACCGUAGCCACCCAGAUCCAGUCUGUAUCCAGAUCAGAUGGUGGAGAGAUGACCUCUACAGCCCUGAAAGACAGCGGAGACCAGGACAACUAGAUGAGCCCCAGAGACAGAUCCCCUGUAAAGACCUUGUCUCCUAGACGGACAUCGGCACAAGUCAUCGGAACCAGAUGAGUCCACUGCACAAUCUGACUCUGCUGCAGCCUGGAAUUGAACCGCUGGUUUGGUCUGGCCAGAGGAGAACUUGCCCCCCCAACUGAGCCUGAUUUCUCCCAAGGUUUUUUCUCAACUCUAUCACCGAUGGAGUUUUGGUUCCC